rnacentral:rRNA from 1 species
UUGGAGGGCAAGUCUGGUGCCAGCAGCCGCGGUAAUUCCAGCUCCAAUAGCGUAUAUUAAAGUUGUUGCAGUUAAAAAGCUCGUAGUUGAAUUUCGGGGUUCUACCGUUGGUCGGGCUUUGUCUGUACUGGUGUGUAGAAUUUCUACCUUCUGGGGAACCAUCAUGCUAUUAAUUUAGCGUGGUGGGAAACCAGGACCUUUACCUUGAAAAAAUUAGUGUGUUCAAAGCAGGCUUAUGUCUGAAUACAUUAGCGUGGAAUAAUAGAAUAGGACGGUGGUCCUGUUUUGUUGGUUUCUGAAUCACCGUAAUGAUUAAUAGGGAUAGUUGGGGGCAUUAGUAUUCAAUUGUCAGAGGUGAAAUUCUUGGAUUUAUUGAAGACUAACUUCUGCGAAAGCAUUUGCCAAGGAUGUUUUCAUUAAUCAAGAACGAAAGUUAGGGGAUCGAAGACCAUCAGAUACCGUCGUAGUCUUAACCAUAAACUAUGCCGACUAGGGAUCGGACGAUGUUAAUUUUUCUUGACUCGUUCGGCGCCUUACGGGAAAC